rnacentral:rRNA from 1 species
UCGAACGGUAGCACAGAGAGCUUGCUCUCGGGUGACGAGUGGCGGACGGGUGAGUAAUGUCUGGGAAACUGCCUGAUGGAGGGGGAUAACUACUGGAAACGGUAGCUAAUACCGCAUAACGUCGCAAGACCAAAGAGGGGGACCUUCGGGCCUCUUGCCAUCAGAUGUGCCCAGAUGGGAUUAGCUAGUAUGUGGGGUAACGGCUCACCUAGGCGACGAUCCCUAGCUGGUCUGAGAGGAUGACCAGCCACACUGGAACUGAGACACGGUCCAGACUCCUACGGGAGGCAGCAGUGGGGAAUAUUGCACAAUGGGCGCAAGCCUGAUGCAGCCAUGCCGCGUGUAUGAAGAAGGCCUUCGGGUUGUAAAGUACUUUCAGCGGGGAGGAAGGUGUUGCGGUUAAUAACCGCAGCAAUUGACGUUACCCGCAGAAGAAGCACCGGCUAACUCCGUGCCAGCAGCCGCGGUAAUACGGAGGGUGCAAGCGUUAAUCGGAAUUACUGGGCGUAAAGCGCACGCAGGCGGUCUGUCAAGUCGGAUGUGAAAUCCCCGGGCUCAACCUGGGAACUGCAUUCGAAACUGGCAGGCUAGAGUCUUGUAGAGGGGGGUAGAAUUCCAGGUGUAGCGGUGAAAUGCGUAGAGAUCUGGAGGAAUACCGGUGGCGAAGGCGGC